rnacentral:rRNA from 1 species
UACGAAGGGUGCAAGCGUUGUUCGGAAUUAUUGGGCGUAAAGGGUUCGUAGGUGGGAUGGUAAGUCAAGUGUGAAAUCCCUGAGCUUAACUCAGGACGUGCAUUUGAAACUGCUAUUCUUGAGUGUUGGAGAGGGUCGUGGAAUUGCUGGUGUAGGAGUGAAAUCCGUAGAUAUCAGCAGGAACACCAGAGGCGAAGGCGGCGACCUGGCCAAACACUGAACACUGAGGAACGAAAGCGUGGGAUAGCCAAAC